GGCGAGAUGGCCGAGUGGUCUAAGGCGCCAGACUAGGCUCCAGGAUUCUCAAAGGUUCGAAUCCCAAUCUAGUCA